rnacentral:rRNA from 1 species
ACGCUCGACACCUACGGGAGGCAGCAGGUAGGGGAAUAUUGCACAAUGGGGGAAACCCUGAUGCAGCGACGCCGCGUGGAGGAAGAAGGUCUUCGGAUUGUAAACUCCUGUUGUUGGGGAAAAAGAGGAUGGUACCCAACAAGGAAGUGACGGCUAACUACGCGCCAGCAGCCGCGGUAAUCUGAGCGGCUGGCAAGGC